GUCGUGAGAUGUUGCGUUAAGUCGCGCAACGAGCGCAACCCCUGUCCUUAGUUGCCAUCAUUCAGUUGGGCACUCUAGGGAGACAAACCCUCUUUGAGGGUGGGAAGGUGGGGAUGACGUCAAGUCAGGAUGGCCCUUACGGCCAGGGCUGCACACGUACUACAAUGCCCGGUACAGAGGGAAGCAAUACCGCGAGGUGGAGCAAAUCCUCAAAACCGGGCCCAGUUCAGAUUGUAGUCUGCAACUCGACUACAUGAAGUUGGAAUCGCUAGUAAUGGCGCAUCAGCUACGGCGCCGUGAAUACGUUCCCGGGCCUUGUACACACCGCCCGUCACGUCAUGAAAGCCGGUUUCGCCCGAAGUGCGUUUGCCAACCAGCAAUGGAGGCGGCGCCCUAAGGUGAGGCUGGUGAUUGGGACGAAGUCGUAACAAGGUAACCGUAGGGGAACCUGCGGUUGGAUCACCUCCUUUCUAAGGAGACGGCAACGCCAUGCAAAUGGUCGCGCCGAUGGUCGAAGGAAGCGGUGGAGUCAAAUCUGCUGUCUUCUGGGUCUCAGUUGAUCGCACAAAGUAAAUUUCGGAGUUUGUUCUUUUUCUACAUCCCUCCAUGCUGGGGUCGUAGCUCAGUUGGUAGAGCACCUGCUUUGCAAGCAGGGGGUCGCGAGUUCGAAUCUCGCCGGCUCCACCAGAGUUUCGACACCAAUCUGGUGCCAUUUUCCAGCCCUGGGCUCAUAGCUCAGUUGGUUAGAGCACGCGCUUGAUAAGCGCGGGGUCGAUGGUUCAAGUCCAUCUGGGCCCACCAUUUUUCGCAUUUGGUGCGAAUCUUGGGUUGGGCGAAUGGAAGGGAAGGAACAACGCGAAGUAAUUUUCGUUCUUUGAAAGUUUAGGGUAGUUUUAGUGUAAGUGGGUAAGAUAAACGCCUAGAAUAUGUGAGCGUUUGCAUAAACCAGUUACAGCAAUUGAUGGAUGCCUUGGCUUCAUCAGGCGACGAAGGACGCAGCAAGCUGCGAUAAGCUUCGGGGAGCGGCACGCACGCUUUGAUCCGAAGAUGU
rnacentral:sRNA from 1 species